rnacentral:lncRNA from 1 species
GCUAACUUCACCUAAAAAAAAAAAAGUUAUGUGAGGAUGCUUGUAAAGAGUUUCAAAGGAAGUAAAAUGGAAUAAACCUACACUGUGGUCAAUCCCUUAGGGUAGAAGCUAAACUGACAAAACUGGAGACAACCCAAAAAUCCACUAGUAGGCACUGGCUGAAUAAAGUGUGGCUCAUUUACAUAAUGGAAGAAUACACAGCUCUACCAUGAAAUAAGGAAAAACUACGUAAACUACUAUCAAAUCUUCAGGAUACAAAAUAAUCUGAAAAAACAAGCAAAGAAAAUGUAUACUGUUUGGUGUUAUUUAUCUACAUAAAUGGUUGGGUUCUGAUCUCCUAAGACUGGCGUCACUACAAGAAGAGACACCGGAGAGCUCUCUUUCUCUCCAUCUCUUUUCCUCUCUCUUGCAAGCACUCCCGCCAGCUGCCCACAAUAUGAGGACAGUGAGAAGACUGUCACCUGCAAGCCAUGAAGCGAGUCCUCACCAGAAAUGGAGCCUGUCAGACCUUGGUCUGAGACUUCUAGCCUCUGGAACUUUCUGAAAAUAAACUUCUGUUGUUUAAACCAUCCACUGUAUGGUAUUUUCCCACGGCAGGUUGAGGUAAUACAGAGCUUUACUGUCAUCCUCAGAAGCAUCAACUGGAUUUGUAUACAUUAUGAUGAAAAAGACCUGAAAAUUUCACACAGAUUAAAUGCUUUCACUUAUUUCUCAGUUUUAUACUAGUGCUUUCUUUAGACUCUUCAAAUUGCAUGUCCUUCCUUAUGUUCCCUGGGCAUUGACUUAUUAGUUCCUGGGUAAAAUUUAACAAAGGCUAUGCCACAGGUCUAGGAUUAGUCAUUUUCACAAUCUUGGAUUUCUCAAUAACUAUGACUACAUUCCCCUUAAAUAUGAGUUCCUUAGAAAAUCUGUUUUUAUUAUUUGGACAUAGUGCCUGGUGAUAAUAGACAGCCUAUGCUUUUUUGUCUUUCCCCUGAACUAGAAUUCAAAUGAAGGAUAUGCUAAACACAGCUGUUGCUGUGUAUAAUGACAUUCAGUAUGUGGAUGCUGCAUCCAGAUUCCAUUUUAAGGCAGCCAUCUGUCCUUUAGCAAGCAAAAUAACAGAAGAUUUAUACCUUAAUAAAAUCACACACAUAAGUGCACCCCACACUCCUUCAUGUGCCCUCCAUGUAAUUUCACAUUUGUUAGUGAAUUUUCUGUAGUAUUUUUCUAGCUUUAAGACUAUUUGAGGUGAAGUUCUGGACCUGCUAAGCCUGAGCACAAGGGUUUUAGCAUAAUAUAUUUGGACUCAUGAUUUUCAGUAAAUCUUCAUAGAUUGACAUGAAUGUCAUGAAAUUUAAAAGAUUAAGAAACAUUCCUU